rnacentral:rRNA from 1 species
GAUGAACGCUGGCGGCGUGCCUAAUACAUGCAAGUCGAGCGAACAGACGAGGAGCUUGCUCCUCUGACGUUAGCGGCGGACGGGUGAGUAACACGUGGAUAACCUACCUAUAAGACUGGGAUAACUUCGGGAAACCGGAGCUAAUACCGGAUAAUAUAUUGAACCGCAUGGUUCAAUAGUGAAAGACGGUUUUGCUGUCACUUAUAGAUGGAUCCGCGCCGCCUUAGCUAGUUGGUAAGGUAACGGCUUACCAAGGCAACGAUGCGUAGCCGACCUGAGAGGGUGAUCGGCCACACUGGAACUGAGACACGGUCCAGACUCCUACGGGAGGCAGCAGAAGGGAAUCUUCCGCAAUGGGCGAAAGCUUGACGGAGCAACGCCGCGUGAGUGAUGAAGGUCUUCGGAUCGUAAAACUCUGUUAUUAGGGAAGAACAAAUGUGUAAGUAACUAUGCACGUCUUGACGGUACCUAAUCAGAAAGCCACGGCUAACUACGUG